AGGGCGGCAGGAGAGAGAAUGAGAGGAGCGAAGCCCCUUACAAAACCAUCAGAUCUUGUGAGAACUCGCUAUCAUGAGAACAGCAUGGAGGUAACCACCCCUGUGUUUCAAUUACCUCCCACCGGGUCCUUCCCAUGACACUUGGGGAUUAUGGGAACUACAGUUCAAGAUGACAUUUGGGUGGGGACACAGCAAAACCAUGCCAUCAAUUUUUUUUUUUUUUUUUUUUUUUGAUACGGAGUCUCACUCUGUCACCCAGGCUGAAGUGCGGUGGCACAAUCUCGGCUCACUGCAGCCUCCACCUCCCAGGUUCAAGUGAUUCUUCUGCCUCAGCCUCUUGAGUAGCUGGGACUACAGGCACAUGCCACCACGCCAGGCUAAUUUUUGUAUUUUAGUAGAGAUGGGGUUUAUCCACAUUGGCCAGGCUGGUCUCGAACUCCUGACCUCAAGUGAUCCACCUGCCUCAGCCUCCCAAAGUGCUGGGAUUAUAGGUGUGAGCCACCAUGCCGCUCUAUUUUUUGUAUUUUUUGUAGAGACGGGGUCUCCCUAUGUUGCCCAAGCAGGUCUCAAACUCCUGGGCUCAAGUGAUCCUCCUGCCGUGGCCUUCCAAAGUGCUAGGUUUACAAGUGUGGACCACCUCACCUAGCCAAAUGUUGAUGCUUCUUCAGAUUUGCUGCUUGAAGUCAUUGUUACCACUUUAAAUAUAUACUUGAGUGCAUUGCUAUCUAAAGGGCUUAUUUAAAAAUACAUAGAUUAGUUGUAGAUAUACACUGUGUAACAAUGAAAAGGUCAUUGUAGCAAAAGGGGUUUAUACUGUAUCUGCAUACUCUAUGAAAGGACCACUCAUACACAUUUCCUAUGUACAUAUUUUUUCCAUGUUUCCUACUGAUCUCACUGACAGUAUUUUGAUGGCUUCUUGUUGGCUGAGGAACUGGCCAUGGCACAGAUGAUGGAUGGGGGCAACAGCCUUGAAUAUUCUCCUUCCAGCAACUGUCAACACCUGAAGGAGGGAGUUAGCUGCCUGUUACCAUACUUGAUAUUGACUUGGUGUCCUAAAAAGGAAAAUGUCAAUUGUUUCAAAUUUGUAAAGGGUUAAGAAAAGAGGCAGACUACCACUAGUCAUCUUGUUAGAUUUAAUCAUGUGUUAAAAUGUGAUAGCUGUUUACAAUGCACAUCUCACAUGACUACUGUGUAAGACCUUGUCAGAAGUUAGAAACACCAAUUCAAUGUCUGUGAAACCAUCAAUACUUAUUUUGAUGCAACUUUGUUAAAAAUGUAAAGUCUAAGACAGUAGAUUUGUACACGAUGUUUGGAAACACCAAUCAUAAAUGAAGACUUGAGGUCAAACAGACUUAUGGUCACCAUACUUGCAGCAGAAUUUGCUGGGGGGUUGAUAUAUGUUCAUCAAGUAAACAGAAACAUCAAACCAGAGUAGUUCUCUAGUUAGUAAAAUGAGAAUAAACAGGUUAUUAAUUAAUCUAUUUCAGAGGAUGGUCAGGUGGCCUAGAGAAUGCUGUCCUGGGGAAAUGACAUUUAUACUGCUACAUGAGAUAUGAUUAGAAGUUAGGUAGAAGAACAUCAUUCCAGGCAGAGGAAGUGGGCACAAAAAGGUCCUUAGUAAAGGAGCUUUUUGAGUUCAAAGAACUGAAAGAUGAUGUGUGUUGCAAAUGUGACUUGUGAGGCUAGCAGAAGCAAUAGAUGUUGAAGACGUGGGUUUGAGCCAGAUUGUGCAGAGCCUGGUAGUCCAUGCUAAGGAUUCGAAUUCCAUGGAAGGUUUGAGCAGGGAUGUGACAUGGUUAGAUUCAAUUUUUAAAAGAUGGUUGGCCCAGAAAAUGUGGAAAAUGGAUUGGAGUUGGAAUUUUCUAAUUAAAGACUUAUCAAAGAUGUGUUUAAACUCUUACUGUAUACUAUUUAAUCUUUAAGGAUUAUGAGCGAUUAUAUGUGAAAAU
rnacentral:lncRNA from 1 species